rnacentral:rRNA from 1 species
UUCUGGUUGAUCCUGCCGGACCUGACUGCUAUCGGAUUGAUACUAAGCCAUGCGAGUCUUUGCAGUAAUGCAAGGCGGACUGCUCAGUAACACGUAGUCAACUUAACCUAUGGAUGGGUAUAACCUCGGGAAACUGAGAAUAAUUCCCAAUAGAUCAUUUAUCCUGGAAUGGUUAGUGAUUGAAAUGAUUCGUCGCCAUAGGAUAGGACUGCGGCCUAUCAGCUUGUUGGUGAGGUAAAGGCCCACCAAGGCUAUUACAGGUACGGGCUCUGAGAGAAGAAGCCCGGAGAUGGGUACUGAGACACGGACCCAGGCCCUAUGGGGCGCAGCAGGCGAGAAAACUUUGCAAUGUGCGAAAGCACGACAAGGUUAAUCCGAGUGAUUUCUGCUAAAGAAAUCUUUUGCCAGUUCUAAAAAUACUGGUGAAUAAGGGGUGGGCAAGUUCUGGUGCCAGCAGCCGCGGUA